rnacentral:lncRNA from 1 species
CCAUAUGCAUGGCUGGUGAAGGAUAUGGAUUUAGUCUUCUUGGAUAUCCUUGAUGAGACUGCGCCUGAGUAACAGAUCAAUCUCUUUCAAGAGUUGAGAGGAUUCUGUCAUUCGCAACAAAUACUCGUGGCAUUUCGAGGUGGCAACCGGGAUAGAUUUUUUUCGCGCCGUUCGAAAGGUCGCCAGUGACAGUGUGAACCGCAGGAAGGAGUGUGCGCGAGCGUGUACGCGCCGUUCAUGCACAUGUGAGAGAUCAUGUACGAUUGUACAACACAUCUUUGCUGUCGGUGGCCUCGACACAACACACAACGACGACAAACUACAAAUAAAUCGUCGUCUACGCAUACACGAAGAAGGUAACUCAUAUUUAUCCAAUCAUUCGAAAAUCUACUUAUUAGAAAAUCAUCAUAAAUUUUAAGAGAAAUUGACAAACAUUCUUAUAUACAAAUGAUGAUCGUUUUAUGAGUUAGUUUUUUCUUUUUUUUUUCUUUUUUAAAUGGCUAGAAUAAGACGACGACUACGACGACGACUACGACGACGACGACAAUCGAUGAACUUUAAUCGCGACGCACGUAUUAAACACCGAUAACGAACUUAUGUACGCGUGUAUGUGUGAAGAACUCUGACGAUUCGUUGCUUUAACAAACGCUUCUCUAAUACGAUAAACGUCACUGAACGUUUAUUAUCAGCGCAAGCGCACAAGUAUCCUUUUAUUUUAUCGCAUUAUCUUCCUUCCUUCUUUCACGGUAGAAUAAUUCGAACGUCGAUCUCUCUAGCAUGUAUAUAACUUACGUAUUCACAUAUGUAUAUAUGUAUAUAUGUAUCACGACGAACAUGUAUUUAUAUAUUCAUUUAUGUUUAGAAAAUAGGAAUGUAGUUGCGGUGAAUUUGAAAAUGAAUACUUCCAUGAUAAUUGAAUCAAUUAAUCUUUCGUAUUGUAAAAUAUGUCAAUGUUUGUUGUUGUUGUUGUUGUUGGUGGUGGUUUAACUAAUUAUAUAAUAUUGAAGUAUGCAUAAUCGAAUAGAAACGAUUCGAUAAUGUAGUAAUAACGUUUGAUCAUAUAUUUAAAAUCGUAGCGUUGUAUAUAGAUAUACAGUGGUGUGUGACACGUGUGUCCCAUAAGGUUAGUCGCGCGUAAGAACGGAAAUAACAUCUGCUUCUGGCAGAUAAAGAGGCGAAAAUUUUGACGGAGAGCUAUUACCACCACCACCCUACCACUACCUUAAACUACGACGACGAUGACCGCAGUACUCUAACAUUCCUUCCGCUUUUCAAUGAAACACAAAAAAAAGAAACAUCCUUCUUGUAAUCUAAUCCUACUCUUCCUUUUCUUUUUUCUCAUUGAUUAAAGAUGAACCAGCUUCGAAUUGAAAUAUUUGAAGCAUCAAAAAGGAUAGGAUAGGAUAGGAUAGGAUUCUUUAGGAUUAUUCAGAUUCCUCUUGCAUUUGCAAGGAUUUCCAUCGACGUCGUAGUCGUCAUCAUUGGUGGACAUUCAUAAUAAGCAUAAUAACAGAACAAAUAGAUUAUAUAAUGUCACGGUUUACAUAGUAUUGUCAUUAUAUAAGGAUCAUAGUCUGAUUCUAAAACAAUUCUGAGACGACCUAAUAAUUAUGACAUGUAGAGAAACAUGUUCAUGCACACACAUAUUUCUGUUAUUUUAUGACUGGAAUCAGCAAUGAUCCGAUCCAAAUUUUUUUGGAUCUUUGAAUCUUUGACAAUAAUAUUAACGUUAACCCACUACUACUGAUCGAUUAAAACGUCAAUAAGGUAAAAAGUUUAGUUUUCUACGAUAAGCAAUAAGAAUCAAACGAAUGAAUGCAUCGAAGCUUUACCGUUCUUUGAGUUGCUUUCCUGUCGACAUGAUUACGACAUCUUUGUUCGUUCAGGCGAAUAAAAAAUGCUCAACGUGACGUCUCGACACAUACACAAACACACACACACACAAACACAUAUACUUAAAACAUACUUUAAAAACAAGCAAACCACUCACAAGCGUGCUUUAUCUUUGUACAAACUUAGGUAUCGAGGAAACGGAUUGGCUGAUUAAUCAAAUCGUGUAUCCAUUAUGGAAGGAUUACAUGGAAAACUUCCGGUAUUUUAUCUUUAUCAAGAUAUUACCGACCUUAAAGUAGGAAGAAGGCUAAAUUUACGAUAAUUUAAAUGUAUGCACCUGAACGUCCCGAAAUAUGACGGAAGCAAUUGAUCAAUGAUUCAGAGGGUUGCCUCCAUACCCGCGUCCCUAUGGUCAAUCGAUUUCUGUGUCACUGAAAGUACGUAAGUAUAACAAACCGAAAUGUUAUAUCGGUAAGUUUCGAAAUGCUUUUUAGAACAAUGCCGAGAGAUCCAUAUACUUGGCUGCAAGCCAAUCUCGUGUGUCAGGUGCUUGUAACGAGUGCAUUUUCUUUCUUUUUCUACAGAGAAAAUUCAUUUACAAGGAAACCAAUAUCUAUGAUUAUGCGCUUCGUCGUUAUAUAUACUGUGUGUGUAAGAAAAAAAAAAAAAAGAAAAAAAAAAAAGAAGUUAAGUAAAUAAGUUUCGUCCUGUCGGAGGAUUCGGAGAAAGUUGUAUUCGCGGGGCGUUGAUUGGUCGAUGACGAAAUCGCGGAAGCCGUCGACCAAUCGUUGCUCUGGAAACUUUCCCAGAACGCUUAACCCCUUUGACCGUUACAUAAAUAUCACUCGAUUCAACGUUCUGUCUCUUACAGCAACAUAUAUCUAUCCUGUACCGUUCCACAAAAUAAAGACAGAGAGACAAGCAAGAGUGACACGGAACAAUGAUUCUUUGUCCGACCUUUUAUGGGCGUGAAAACAAAUUCAAAUCAUCCGCGUUAAAUUGUCGUUAAAUCGACCCCUAAAAGGAAAGGAAAGGAAAGGAAAGGAGAGGAGAGGAAACUAAACAAAACAAACUAAACUCUUCAAGAGGAAGAAGACACAAUUCUUAAGGGUUCCUACUUUUCUUCAAAGAAAUUGCACAAAAAUUGUAUUUUUCUAUCACAUUGUCAGAAUAUCUUGAUUGAUCUUCUCUUUUAAGAUCAUGUUAAAGAUCAAGAGAGUUUAAUCGGAUUAACUUUGUCUCUUUAUGUUCAGAGAUGGGUACCCAGUUUCAUACUUUUUGAUAGUUUUCACGCAAUUAUGCAAAGAAAGAGAAACAAGAAAGUUUAAGUGCAAAGUAGCUAAAUAAAAGCUCGUUUCCUGUUAAUACGAAAAUGCAAGUGUCGUACGCUUGAUAUGAUUGCCGGACGAUAAUGUGGAAUAAGAAAAUAAGUAUGAGUCUAUAUGUGUCAAGGUUGUCGUUAGAAGAGAUCGAUAGAAAAGAAGAAGGUACAAUCCUGCAAGGAAAUCGAUGAUGAUCGCGCAUCGCUGACGAAUGACUAAGCGCGCGAAUAUCGAAUAGAAAUUAUUUUCAACCGAUUAUCUCUUUUAACAAUAAGAUCGUUAUUCUUCAAGAGGAAUGAUGAAUUCAGUUCACGAUGAUUUCUUGAUUAAGCCUAACGUAAACGUUGAAAUCAAACAUCUUUUCAUCUCGUGGACGUAGGAAUAAUAAAUAUACUUUUUAUCUUUUAUUUCGAAUCACAUUUUUCAACUAGGUUCUAAAAAAGAAGUCCUAGCCGAGUAUUUUUAUU